ensembl:snoRNA U3 Small nucleolar RNA U3
AAGACUAUACUUUCAGGUAUCAUUUCUAUAGUUCAUUACUAGAGAAGUUUCUCUGAACAUGUAGAGUACCAACUUCUAUGCAAAAAAACUAGAAAAUCAAGAAGAAAUGGA